rnacentral:rRNA from 1 species
ACUCCUACGGGAGGCAGCAGUGGGGAAUAUUGCACAAUGGGGGAAACCCUGAUGCAGCCAUGCCGCGUGUGUGAAGAAGGCCUUCGGUUGUAAGCACUUUCAGUAGGGAGGAAGGUAGUGUAGUUAACACCUGCAUUAUUUGACGUUACCUACAGAAGAAGCACCGGCUAACUCCGUGCCAGCAGCCGCGGUAAUACGGAGGGUGCGAGCGUUAAUCGGAAUUACUGGGCGUAAAGCGCAUGCAGGCGGCCUGUUAAGUCAGAUGUGAAAGCCCGGGGCUUAACCUCGGAAUUGCAUUUGAAACUGGCAGGCUAGAGUCUUGUAGAGGGGGUAGGAAUUUCAGGUGUAGCGGUG